rnacentral:rRNA from 1 species
GACAGAGGUGCCAAGCGUUAGGCGGAAUCACUGGGCUUAAAGCGUGUGUAGGCGGACGCCUAAGUACCUUGUGAAAUCCCCCGGCUCAACCGGGGAACUGCUGGGUAUACUGGGCGUCUUGGGCCAACUAGGGGCUGCCGGAACAAAUGGUGGAGCGGUGAAAUGCGCAGAUAUCAGGAGGAACACCGAUGGCGAAGGCAGGUCUCUGGGCAUUAACUGACGCUGAGGAGCGAAAGCAUGGGGAGCGAACAGG